GCACAGGUUUGGAUUCAUGGCAGGCCUGUCCCCCUGGGUAUCUCACAGUGCCCAUGCCAGAGCAAACUGUGGCCUUGAACCAUUGCCUGGCCUCUGCCCAUAAACUAUAGGCACUGUGGCAGGUUGCACAGUG